CCGAAUGUUGUUACCAUUUCCUACUGAACAAGCUAGAUUACCACGAAGCAAAGGCUAGAUCUUGGAGAAAGUCUUCCAAAGGAAAGAACAUCUACCUCAAGAAAUAUUUUCCGGUAAUCUCUCAUUCAGGUUAUACUUAGAUCGAAAAACACAGACCCAUAAAGCAUUAUCCUUUGAAACUUUAUUAAACCCAAGUUCAGGAAAAAAUAUGUAUUAUGGUCCCGCAAUUGCCUAAACCC
rnacentral:lncRNA from 1 species